rnacentral:lncRNA from 1 species
AAAAAAACAAUACCCAGCAGAGAGUCCAGGGAUGUCCAAUCUCUAGAUAAAAGCUACUAAGAACUAACAGCGGUUAUAAGUGAGCCUGCACAUAAAAUAAACCACUAGUUUAAACACAAACGAGCUCAACGGUUCACCACAAAAGUAGGAUAAUAGGAAUAUAGUAGGUGUUCCUUAAAACCGCUGUUCAAGCUAUCAAAGACUCUUAUCAAUUAGCUCUUAUAACUUAAAUUAUCCUUUAUGAACUUCUAUUCAUAUCAUCAUAACAUUCCAUAUCAUUUUUUGAGUAAGAAAUAUCAUAACAUUACAUAUCAUAACAAUACUUUAACUCUUUUUUAUGAUUAAUUUUGUGUAGACAUCUUAUUUACACCUCCCUCUUAUGCAAAUAGGAAGAGAAAAGAAAGAAAUGAGUGAUAUAAUUUGUGAUUUGAUUGGAAACGUAAAGAGAGAUAUAAAACAUGUAUAAAAAUAAGUUGGAAGAGAAAAUGAGGUGUGAAUGUAUCAUUAAUUUUAGGUCUAAUAAAUCUAAUAAGAUGGAAAAAUUAUUUAGUGGCACUCAUUGAGAGUAAUGUUAUAUUUUCUAACGCGAUUCUCCUACAAAUCUUUUAAGUUAAGUUAGAUCUCCUAAAUUCUAAUAUGGCAUCAGAGUUUAACAUAGAUUUGUUUAUUGGUGGAGACCUAUCAUAUUUGGGUCACCUGCAGGUGUCUAGAAGGUGAGGAGCUGUGUUAGAAGUCUCACAUUAGGUAGAGAUAUGCCAUAAAUAAUUUUUUUUAAUAGUAGAGCAACCCUAAACUCUUGAGUUAGUUUUUAGGUCGAGUUAGAGCUCCCAAAUUUUAUAAUAGAAAUCAUUAUUUAUUGUGUAUGAUAUGAGAUGUAGAAGAAAUUGAGUAUCAAUAUAUCAAAGUAGUUCAAUGUGUACAAAACAUUCACCUCUAGUAUAGUUAAAAAAAAAAACACACACACACACAUGUACAUUAUAAUAGUAGUAUAUAUUUGGUUGAAUCAAUAAAUUAAUAGAGGUUCACCUUGUUGAAUUGUUCCGAGGGGACUACACAAUCUGUUUGUUUGACACCCUCCAUGGUGAUCUUCUCUUCCUCGGGAAACAAACAGUUUGCAUUUAAACCAGCAAGUGCUUUGGCCUGCACGCUCUGGUCGGCUUCACAACAUAACAAAG